UUAGUCUUAUAAUUUAAGACUGGAAUGAAAGAAUUCACCAAAGAGCUUCUCUCUUUUUUAUAUAUAUUGAACUUUACUUUUUAGUUAAAAGGCUAAAAUAAUUCUUUUAGACAAGAAGACCCUAUAAAGCUUUACAUAUUAAAAUUUAAGAGAUUCUCAUUAUGUUUAACUGGGGCGGUAAAGAGACAAACACUUUUAAAUUAUUAAAUAUUUUAAUAUUAAUAUCCAAAAUUUUUGAAAAUUAAAUAAGUUACUUUAGGGAUAACAGCGUUAUAUAUUUAAAGAGUUCUAAUCGAAAAAUAUGUUUGCGACCUCGAUGUUGAAUUAAAUUUUCUUUAUUAUGCAAAAGUAAUAUAAGAAGG
rnacentral:rRNA from 1 species